rnacentral:rRNA from 1 species
UACGAAGGGUGCUAGCGUUGUUCGGAAUUACUGGGCGUAAAGGGCGCGUAGGCGGCUUUACAAGUCAGGGGUGAAAUCCCACGGCUCAACCGUGGAAUUGCCUUUGAAACUGUAAAGCUAGAGUGUCGGAGGGGAUAGCGGAAUUGCUAAUGUAGAGGUGAAAUUCGUAGAUAUUAGCAGGAACACCGGUGGCGAAGGCGGCUAUCUGGACGACAACUGACGCUGAGGCGCGAAAGCAUGGGGAUCAAACGGG